GCUUUUGGUUCAGUGGUAGAAUGCUCGCCUGCCACGCGGGCGCUCCGGGUUCGAUUCCUGGCCGAUGCA
rnacentral:tRNA from 1 species